AACGAACGCUGGCGGCAUGCCUAACACAUGCAAGUCGAACGAGACCUUCGGGUCUAGUGGCGCAAGGGUGCGUAACGCGUGGGAACCUGCCCUUAGGUUCGGAAUAACUCCCCGAAGGAUGUGCUAAUACCGGUUAAUGUCUUCGGACCAAAGAUUUAUCGCCUUUGGAUGGGCCCGCGUUGGAUUAGCUAGUUGGUAGGGUAAAAGCCUACCAAGGCGACGAUCCAUAGCUGGUCUGAGAGGAUGAUCAGCCACACUGGGACUGAGACACGGCCCAGACUCCUACGGGAAGCAGCAGUGGGGAAUAUUGGACAAUGGGCGAAAGCCUGAUCCAGCAAUGCCGCGUGAGUGAUGAAGGCCUUAGGGUUGUAAAGCUCUUUUACCCGGGAUGAUAAUGACAGUACCGGGAGAAUAAGCUCCGGCUAACUCCGUG
rnacentral:rRNA from 1 species